rnacentral:rRNA from 1 species
AACGAACGCUGGCGGCGUGCCUAACACAUGCAAGUCGUACGAGAAACACAUCCUUCGGGGUGUGGAGUAAAGUGGCGCACGGGUGAGUAACACGUGGGUAACCUGCCCUCGGGAUCGGGAUAACUGGCCGAAAGGCCCGCUAAUACCGGAUAAGACCACAAGAACCACGGUUCUUGAGGUAAAAGUCGGCCUCUCAUAGAAGCAGGCGCCUGAAGAUGGGCACGCGGACCAUUAGCUAGUUGGUAAGGUAACGGCUUACCAAGGCCGAGAUGGGUAGCUGGUCUGAGAGGAUGAUCAGCCACACUGGAACUGAGAUACGGUCCAGACUCCUACGGGAGGCAGCAGUGAGGAAUAUUGCGCAAUGGAGGAAACUCUGACGCAGCAACGCCGCGUGAGUGAAGAAGGCUUUCGGGUUGUAAAGCUCUGUCAGGUGGGAAGAAACCUCUAUAGUUAAAUAGACUAUAGAACUGACGGUACCACCAAAGGAAGCACCGGCUAACUCCGUGCCAGCAGCCGCCGUAAGAC